GUGCUCCCUUCACCAGCACAUACACUAAAACUGGAAUCAUAUGGAGAAGUUUAUCAUGGUCCCUGUGCAAACAUGACAUGCAAUUAAGUGAAUUAAUGCAAAAACAA
ensembl:snRNA U6 U6 spliceosomal RNA